rnacentral:miRNA from 1 species
CCACUGAGUGCCCAGGGUGUCCAAGCAGGUGUCCGCUCAACUUCUAUCCUACCUGAGCAACAGCAGCAGCAGCAACAACAACAGCAGCAACAACAGCAGCAGCAGCAACAACAACAGCAGCA